rnacentral:rRNA from 1 species
AUUGAACGCUGGCGGCAGGCCUAACACAUGCAAGUCGAACGAGUGGCGGACGGGUGAGUAAUGUCUGGGAAACCGCCCGAUGCAGGGGGAUAACUACUGGAAACGGUAGCUAAUACCGCAUACCAUCCGAAGUGCCCAGAUGGGAUUAGCUAGUUGGUGGGGUAACGGCUCACCAAGGCGACGAUCCCUAGCUGGUCUGAGAGGAUGACCAGCCACGCUGGAACUGAAACACGAUCCAGACUACGACGGGAGGCAGCAGUGGGGAAUAUUGCACAAUGGGCGCAAGCCUGAGUCAGCCAUGCAGCGUGUAUGAAGAAGGCCUUCGGGUUGUAAAGUACUUUCAGCGGGGAGGCGUUACCCGCAGAAGAAGCACCGGCUAACUCCGUGCCAGCAGCCGCGGUAAUUC